GAUGAACGCUGGCGGCGUGCCUAAUACAUGCAAGUCGAGCGAACAGAUGAGGAGCUUGCUCCUCUGACGUUAGCGGCGGACGGGUGAGUAACACGUGGAUAACCUACCUAUAAGACUGGGAUAACUUCGGGAAACCGGAGCUAAUACCGGAUAAUAUAUUGAACCGCAUGGUUCAAUAGUGAAAGACGGUUUUGCUGUCACUUAUAGAUGGAUCCGCGCCGCAUUAGCUAGUUGGUAAGGUAACGGCUUACCACGGCGACGAUGCGUAGCCGACCUGAGAGGGUGAUCGGCCACACUGGAACUGAGACACGGUCCAGACUCCUACGGGAGGCAGCAGUAGGGAAUCUUCCGCAAUGGGCGAAAGCCUGACGGAGCAACGCCGCGUGAGUGAUGAAGGUCUUCGGAUCUUAAAACUCUGUUAUUAGGGAAGAACAAAUGUGUAAGUAACUAUGCACGUCUUGACGGUACCUAAUCAGAAAGCCACGGCUAACUACGUG
rnacentral:rRNA from 1 species